rnacentral:rRNA from 1 species
UAGGGAAUCUUCCGCAAUGGACGCAAGUCUGACGGAGCAACGCCGCGUGAGUGAAGAAGGCUUUCGGUUCGUAAAACUCUGUUGUUAGAGAAGAACAGCGCAUAGAGUAACUGUUAUGCGUGUGACGGUAUCUAACCAGAAAGCCACGGCUAACUACGUGCCAGCAGCCGCGGUAAUACGUAGGUGGCAAGCGUUGUCCGGAUUUAUUGGGCGUAAAGCGAGCGCAGGCGGUCAAUUAAGUCUGAUGUGAAAGCCCCCGGCUCAACCGGGGAGGGUCAUUGGAAACUGGUUGACUUGAGUGCAGAAGAGGAGAGUGGAAUUCCAUGUGUAGAGGUGAAAUGCGUAGAUAUAUGGAGGAACACCGGUGGCGAAAGCGGCUCUCUGGUCUGUAACUGACGCUGAGGCUCGAAAGCGUGGGGAGCGAACAGG